rnacentral:lncRNA from 1 species
GCGGGACUUGUUUAACCGCCACGCAUUAUUUUCAAAUUUUGAGCGCGUAUUUGUCUGUAGUUUGUCAUCCGUUGAUUCAACGUUUUAUAACUGAUACUGGUAGAAUUUAGUGCGUUUUUCUUUCGUAUUUUAACAUAAAAUACGCAUUCUUUGAAUUUGUCAAAGAGGAAUCAUAGGAGGGUGGUGAAACGCGCUUUAGUAUGCGAGAAGAAUCAGAAGAUAUGGAUAAUUUUGUAAAUGCGUGAAAGGUGACUAGGAUCGUGAGAAAGAAAGGCCAUGGCAAUGAGAAAUUUCUAAAGUUAAAAAAAUAAUCAAAAGUUCAUUGACCCAUCUACAACAACAUGUGUAUCUAAAGUAUUGGAAUUCAGUGAUUUCCUUUUGUCCAAGCAUCACACUAACCAAAGGUCAAAAUGGAGCUCUAUUAAAGCAAUAUUAAAUGUGAAAGGUUUUGUUUAUGCAGUGCCGUGGAUGCAAGAACAACUUUGCUCUCAUUCCGUCACUGGAAAGGCUUCAAAUGCGUAGCUUAAUUCAAAGAAAAGGAUGCAAAACCAGAGCCAGAGAAAGUUAAGAGUAUAUAUGCUGUGUCUAAAGUAUAGUGCAAAAAGGUUUGAGGGAAAAGAGGCAGACAUAUGACAAGUUAUGGCACCAAAGAUUAAUAAUAUUGUGCAAGUUGAGAAAACCAAGUUGAAAGCAUCUGGACAUCAGUAACUAUAUGACAUUCCAUUUUCUACUAUUUACAUGUUCUGUACAUGUAAAUAUAUUUAGUAUAAUAGCCUAGUUAUAUUUUUGCUAUUUUCUUGCACAGUCAUUUUAUUUGGUGGGAAAACUGCAGUAUGGUAAUAAUUUUAUCUAGAAAAUAUUGAAUAAAUUUAUACAUUCAUAAAAAAACCAAGCUAAAAUAUUUCAA